UACGUAGGGGGCAAGCGUUGUCCGGAUUUAUUGGGCGUAAGAGCUCGUAGGCGGUUUGGUAAGUCAGGUGUGAAAUCUCCACGCUCAACGUGGAGGGGCCACCUGAUACUGCCAUGACUGGAGUCCGGUAGGAGGAGUGUGGAAUUCCCGGUGUAGCGGUGAAAUGCGUAGAUAAUCUGGAGGAAUACCGGUGGCGAAGGCGGCAUCCUGGACCGGCAUUGAC
rnacentral:rRNA from 1 species